UCAAAUUUUCCCUUUGAGGAAUUGGGACAGCAGCAUAGGCAAGGCAGGCAAAUGCCCUUAAAUGGGAGUAAUGUAGGUGCCUUUCCAUUCAAAAUUUCAUAAGGAGAUUUAUUAUGAAGAAGUUUGGAGGGUAUCCAGUUAAGUAGAUAGGUAGCAGUCAACAAGCAAUCUCCCCAAAAAGAGAUUGGUAAGCCAGAUUGAAAAAGUAAGGCUCUACAUGCCUCAAGAAGAGUCAUAUGUUUCCUUUCUACAACACCAUUUUUUUGAGGACUAUGAGGACAGGUUGUUUGGUGAAUGAUCCCUUGAUUACUAAAGAAAGAAACACCCUCAAUGCUAGACCCCAGUUCCAAAGCAUUAUCACUUCAAACAAUUUGAACCACAACGUUAAACUGGGUUUUAAUCAUACACAUAAAUGAUUUAAACAAGCAGAAGGCAUUACUUUUGGACCCCAGUAGGUGUGUCCAGGUAGCCCUAGAGAAAUCAUCAACAAUUGUGUUAAACUGGGUUUUAACCAUACACAAAAAUGAUUUAAGCAAGUAGAAGGCAUUGCUUUUAGCCCCCAUUAAGUGUGUCCAGGUAGCCCUAGAGAAAUCAUCAACAAUUGUAAGAAAUAUCUACAGCCAGUAGAAGUAGAAGUGUGAUAGGGGCCCCAAGUGUCCACAUGAAUCAAUUGGAAAGGUCUAGAAGUAGUUAUUGUGCUAUCAGGAAAGGGAAGUCUAGUCUGUUUAGCCAUAGGACAGAUAGAAUAAGGGAAAGACUGCUUAAAAGCAAAAAGAAAAGACAAUCCAAAAAUGUGUUUCAUGUUUGAAAAUGAAGUAUGAGCAAGUCUCAAAUGCCAAAUGUAAUUCAUGUCAGUUGCAACAAAAUUAUUACAGAUGGAACUAUUUACAUUGGAAGGUAAAGUAACAUCUUUAUGGCAACCAGUAAAAGAAGAAUUGUCAGGAUUACAAGAGUCAGAUUUAGAGUAUACAAAAGUAGAUGAACAACCAGUAGAGCAAGAAGGGGAAGCUGGAGCCCAAGCAAGCUUGUAUAAACCAGCCUCCUCUCUACCAAGAUCCAGAGGCUUCCUCAGAG
rnacentral:lncRNA from 1 species